CUGUUCAUCUUUUAUGGAUCUCUUUCUCCAUAAACCCAGCCAUUGACAUCACCGAGAAGAUUCAUUUGGAGUUGAAAUUAAAUCGAUUAAUCUCCAGAAGGAGAGAUGCAUCAGGAUGGGAAUCACAGGGAACAAAAGAAGGUGCAUGUUAUGGUUUAGGAAGGUGUUACGAUUUCUGAACAGAUUUCAGUGAAUGUAUGUCCAAUUGUAGGGAACCUGAAGAUUCUGCUCUUCUUAGAAAAGAUUAUCCUGAGUGUCUUCAUCGUGCUAAAGAGGGUAUUAGGUUUACGAUUUCUGGACAGAUUUCAGUGAAUGAAACGAGAGCACUCAGAGCAGGGUGUAUGUUAUAUUGAACUGGCACGAUAGUCCAAAACCGAACUUACUAGAGGAGGAAGAGAUGCAUCAGUUAUAGACUUGAGAAAGUCCCCAAACUUGUGAAUGUGAAUACCCAGUAGGGAGAGAUGUGAAGAAUUAAGGAACUCCUUGCAUGAGGUACAAUUAGCCUCUGUACUACAGCUGCAUCAAGGGUAUUCGUCGAUCUGGAAUUCUUGAUGUUCAGCCAGCGCAUGAUUUUAGUACAAUGUAAAUCAAAAGUGUUUUUCCAGGCUAAAUAUUCUCGAAUGCAACAACAAAGCAUUCUGAUGCAGACUCAAUGUUGAUCUCGGAUUUAAGAACAAAUGAAGAUAGAGGGAGCGGAAGCGGGAGAUAAUAGAGAAACUCUAGCACGAUAAUUAAUUAGAGUUUUUAAUUGUGCUCUUCAAAUGUUUGUCAAAAUAGCUUGAAAGGAUUUUCCUGAUGAUCUAAGCCAGAAGAGUAAUAAGGGUAUGCAUGUAGAUGUUAUUGCAGGGUGCUAAUUCCAUCAAUCCAAUUCCAUCACUGCUGGACUGUGAUUGCUGAUGACGAGUUGUAUUCUGGGCAUCCAAUUAUAAGGUAAGUAUUUGUCAAUUCUUUUUGUAGUCUGAGUCAUAUUUAUCACGAGUUGGGUUGUCUAAUACUUUAUACCGUACACGUGUCUGAUUAUCUCUGUAUGUCACAUAUAAAUACAAAUAUACUCAUCACUAAAGGGAAUUUGAGGGUCCAGCUCACUAGCUGGGAGUACAUCCCUACACUUCAAUUAUUCAUCAUUAAGUAUCUACUUUAGCCCUCCCAAGUUAGAAUUUUGGAACUCCCAGGUGGACUGAGUUGCAAAUAGUCACUUUACAUAGCCACAUACCGCAAAUGCUAUAUAUUAUAUUCAUUCAGUUAGUAGCUGUACUAUUUAGCAAGUUCAUUUAAAGAAUGAUGUUUGAUCCAUCGUUGAGGGGUAUUAAAAUGAAGGCAGUGUCAUGUACAUACGUUACCCCGGAAAUCAUAAUUCAACCGACUGCUCCUGCUGUUUUCAGCUAAAUUUUAUGUCAGAAGCUUGAUUGGCAGUGCAUCUGAAAUUUGAAGUGCAUCUGCAAUUUUUGUAACAUCUUAGCUGGGAGAUUUUUGCGGGUGGUACAAUAUGAAGUGAUAAUUAAAUGCUUAAGGUCAACUUUUUUUGCCAUUUAUUUGUUCAAAAUUUUGAUUUGUUAUGUUAAUGUAGAGAUUGGAGCUAAGGCUUUUAAAUUGGUAGAACUCUAACUGAGAUUAUGUUUACAUUUUGGUUUCGGAUAUUACUGCAAUUUGUACCUCCUAAUUAGUGGUAAAACUCUUUCAACCUUUGGGCAGAACGUUGUCACAAUGGUAGCUCCAAAUGUUGAAUCUGUCGAAACACUGAUAGCAUGGCAGCCAUAAAAACUUCUUUACAGAUAGCUCUUAUCUGCGGGCAACCUAUCUUCUUCUCUUCAUUGACUAAACUCGACUUUCACAAAAGUUUGUAGUGAGCUAUACUUCAAAGAAUUUGGUGAAGUUAUUAAUGUUUCAAAGGGCAUGUUACUGUUGAGUUUGCAACAGACGAAGUAGUGUAGAAGGCAAGGUUUCUUAUCUGGAACACCUUAGUUGAGGUUUUUGACAGUACCUCCAGUGAUUUGGUUAGGCUGAAGCAAAGAGGUAAAGGAACGCAUAACCUAACAGGUGUAUCUAGCAUCUGACGGGCAGUAGAACUCUAAGAGAGAAAUCUGCUUAAAGUUUCAAAGGAAAGUGAAAAUGACUUGAAACAAUGCCUUGCUCAGUCAGAAUUUAAUAAAGACAUAUAACAGCACAGGUUUGUUAUUUAUAUCCUUGCGACGACGAAUAGAGAUAUCCAAAUUAAGUUAUUUCUGAGAAACACGAAAGAGGAUCGGCAGUCCCCUUAACUUUUGUUUAAUAUGCAGUAUGUGGUUUAAGCUUAGAUUAUAAAGAGCUCAACGACCACAAAUGAGAGUCUCCAUUUGCAUCUCCAUUUGCAAUUGGAGCACUAAUGAUUGCCAGUGUGUACACCAUGGGUAAUUUCUUACGGAAGGAGUAUGACUGACAUGGAUCAAGAAGCUCAGAUACAAACUAUCCUUAGUGAUAAUAGUCAAGUGUACAACAAGAGGAGAUGCAAGGGUCACUUGAAGCCAAGGUUCGAAAAACGGGUCACGGCCCAGGUCACAGGUACUAGGCGUGACCGUUAUAACGUGUUUUGACGGGUGUGGGCACGUUUUGGGUCAAAAACGCGUUUUUUUGACGUUUCUUUAAAAUAACGGGGUGUGAUAACGGUUAAAUAAGAAAAAUAAAUAAUUUGUGAUCUGAAUUUCCUAUGUAACGGUAAUUACAACUGUGAAAACGGUUACAACGGGUCUAAAUAACGUUGUUACUACGUUUUUUCA